rnacentral:lncRNA from 1 species
AGAGUUGGACACGACUGAGCGACUGAACUGAACUGAAAUUGGCCUGCGUGACAUGGAUUGUAUCUGUUACUGUGUCCUGGGACUCUAGGAGAAGAUCGAGGAAGCAGUGGGGCAGAGCACAGAGGAGCAGUUGAUAUAAUAGAAACCUGCAUUUUAUUCACCUUUGUUCUCUUAUACUCAUGUUAACAAAAGCAGGCAGAUACAUGGAAUAGCACUUUUCAGUGAGACUCUGCCAGAUGGAUGUAGGGCUUGGUAAAGGGACCUUAGUAGGAGAUACUUGAAUGUCCAGAGAGAUGGAGCAGAAACUAAAUGAAUUAUCUGUGGUUUUCACUGUGCAGUACAAGUACAGAUUUUCAGAUAUAGUCUAAGGUUAGAGACUAAUAUAUUCUAAAAAUCUGCAGAAUAGUUGGUCAGUAACAGAUAGAAAUCAAGUUCCAUGAGGCUAGUAUUGAGUAGAAUUGAGUAACUUUAAAGUGAGAGUUAAAAUUUGCAAUCUAAAUUUUGUUAUCAUGGGAAAUAUAAUGAUUAUGAUUGAACAUAUCAGUACGGAUGUGCAAAAUCCUGUGUGAGCUUUUCUAAGCUUUUACAUGAAAAGUAUAUAAAUUGGAUUUUUAUUAUUUAGCCAUGGAUAAACCAAAAGCUAAACAGAGAUUAGGUUUCAUUCUCUAGAUUUGGCUAGUAGAUUACUGGACUUUGUUGUUCAAUGUGGAUAAAAUAAGUUGAUGGGGGCAUUGGUGAUACAGACAAUUUUAGUGGGAGCUAAAGAACCUGAGAAGAUGAUUUCCUUGCCUGAAGUGUCUGCCCUUCAGUCUCCUCUAUGUCUCUCAUUCAUUCUACGCUCCAGUCACAACAAUUACUCACCCUUCCAUAAACAGACUUGUGCUCUGAAAGGGACAAAAGAAGCACGAGGAUAUGUUUGACUGAUUAGCUCUCUCUUUGCUUUGUUUCUCUUUUUUCUAUGAAUCUCAACCACUCCAGUCUCUGAUGAUCAUUCUUGAAUCUGUUUCCUCACCUCUCCCUCUCUUUCAUGUUUCAGUUCCCAAUUCUCUCUUCCAGUUCCGUCACACACCUCAAACACAACAUAUUUAACAUCAGUUUAGUUUUUUUUCUCUGCUUCAUCACCU